UACGAAGGGGGCUAGCGUUGCUCGGAAUUACUGGGCGUAAAGGGCGCGUAGGCGGCCUUGUCAGUCGGACGUGAAAUUCCUGGGCUCAACCUGGGGACUGCGUUCGAUACGGCGAGGCUAGAGGACGGAAGAGGCUCGUGGAAUUCCCAGUGUAGAGGUGAAAUUCGUAGAUAUUGGGAAGAACACCGGUGGCGAAGGCGGCGAGCUGGUCCGUUACUGACGCUGAGGCGCGACAGCGUGGGGAACAAACAGG
rnacentral:rRNA from 1 species